AAUUACAUCGGGAUCGAAGUCGGGCUCGAAAAGCAAUUUAUUUAAAAACAACACACCGCGCCGAAAUUCAAUUUUUUGGAGAGUUCCACGCAGCCAUGUUGAAUUUUGAUCAUGAUGUUGUACGGGAGGAAGGGGCGAAAGAGAGUUACUCGAAAAGGAGAAGCAUGAUAAACUUUGGAUGGAAUUUAUGUUUUAAUAGAAGAUGAAGACAUUUACGACCCUGUUUAGCGUUGCAGUGUGGACUGUGCCUGAGACGAUUCCCCAUAACGCCGGCUAUGUAGACAGCUUGUGAAAAUGGAAUCCAAAUGCUCACAAGAAAUGACAAAAGCAGUACGAAGAUUAACACAACGAAAUUGUGCCAGAAAAGUUUGAAGUACUUAGCUAUGGGAAUGAUCAACAUUGAACUUGCUGAGGCUCUCUUCCUGAAAGUGACUUGACCAGAUAUUUGGCUACCCAGUAUGAGUAUCUUUCUGCUACAUUAAAUAAAAUAUCGUGGAGGAACACGAAGAAAAGGGCUGCGCACCUCAACAUAUUCAAGGUCAAGCAGCUUUUUACCAUAUCCAUAGUAUCUUGCUGCUAAAUGAAAGAAUUAGUGUGGAGGAGCAGAGAAAAGGGCACCUCAACAUGUUCAAGGUCAAGCAGAAAUUAGGAGCUAGGGGUGCUUCUCCAGAGCUGAAAACUUCUUGGCAUGAAGAGAAGAAGAAGCAAGAAAAAGCAGUUUUAAAUAUUGAUUACAUUUUCAUAGUACAAAAAAUGAUUCUAAAGAUAAUACUAUCUAUGAAAUUAGAAGCUGAAGUUGCGUUCUGAUGAAUGUGAGAAUGUCUUCAAAGAACAGGACACCAAAAGUGCCAUUCUCAAAUCAAAGCACUCUAAAAGGCAGAGCAUAAGAAGAACUAGGACAAAUAAAGAAUCUAAAAGAGUCAAACCUAUGGAUGUAUUAAUUGAACAGAGAUGGGCUAUUAGAGAUGAAAUAUCUGAGUUGCUACUGUUUUGCACAAAUUAAAUUUUAGAUAAGAAAAAUAUACCUAGUGUUGUAUUUUUGACAGUGAAAGUUUUUUCUUAUGCUUGAUUUCAGAUUAAAACUGUUAUGUAUUUUAUUGUUUAAACAUUUAUUGGUCUGCAAUCACAUACAUUUUAAUCUUGAUUUAUAUAUCACAUAUAUGUACAAGUCUAACUUGAAUAAUAAGUGCAUGGACAUUUUUGUGGAAAAAAUAAGACAAUCAUGAUCAAGGGUAGUCUGAAAGAGCUUUGCUGGCAGUAAGUUGCAGAUCUUGAUACCCAAGUAAGAGAAAGGUGGCGUCUCUGACCGAUCCUUUUGCUGUUGCUUGUGGGCGAGUGAGGCUUCUCUGUCAGUGGCUUAGUGAGUCAUAGAUGUAAAAAAUAGAAUAGGCAAAUGAGGUAGAGACAUUUAUGAGUAAA